GGGCACCACCACCUCCCCUCACCCCAUCUGAGGAGCUGGCUCUGUCCCUUAAUAAAGGGCGACCAGUGGUUGCUGGCAUUCCAGGGGGCAGUUCAUCACACAUACUAUGCACCACAAGUGAUGGUGAAAAAAGGGUGACAUAUACUGAUGGACGGAUUGUAUUAUUGGACUCUCCAGAAAGAACACAGUCUGUCACAGUUGAUGAAGAUGAUGAUGACGAUGAAGAGACCACAUCUGCUGUGACAGAAGUGGACAAUGCUGGUAGAUCCACUGAGUACAUACCUAGGGAUUUGCCCGCUGAUGAGGGUCCUUCA